CUUUGAACAUCAGACUCUAAGUUCUUCAGCUUUUGGACUCUCGGACUUACACCAGUGAUUUGCCAGGGGCUCUUGUGCCUUUGGCCACAGACUGAAGGCUGCACUGUUGGCUUCCCUACUUUUGAGGUUUUGGGACUCAAACUAGCUUCCUUGAUCCUCAGCUUGCAGACGGACUAUUGUGGGACUUCACCUUGUGAUCAUCUGCUAAAAUGCUGGUUUCAACCUGUAAAGAUUUCUGGGCCCCACCAGUCAGCACGUCUCACGGUCUUCACAGCCCCAGAUUCCGGGAGACAAUGCAUCUAAAACGAACAGCGGCUGGGAACGGUGGAGGAUACCUUCACGAUAGUUGCUUCCAGAGAAAGGCAUGCAAGUCUAAUUUUAAUGGAAAAAGAAUAGGCUCUAAAGCAGGGCUGGCUGCAUCACACCUGAUCUGUCUAGAGCGCUCUUAUUUCAGUCCCAGAGAGGAAGCGCCCAGCCCCGGACUACAGAGCUGUGAAUGAACCCACGCAGGGCGAGUGGAGAAUUUAUUCCAGGGGUUAGCUGGUGAUUAGGACACCGUGCAAGGGGUGGGGCUUGCUAUGCCUAGAGCAGCCCGCUUGAGCUCAGCUCCCUAGCUAGCACCUUUACAAAGGAUGGAGAGACGGAAUCCGCAAACGCUAUCCCUUUGAAUAAAGGCAGCCUUGUUAGGGAAAGGAAAGACUGUCAGUCCCCCCACUGGCUUCUUUCCCUUGGGGAUAUUUGUUCUGCCCUCUUUGUAUUGUUCAUUUCUCCUGCCAUGUUGACCUGGAUAUGGGAUGUAGCAUCUAUUAAAGAUUCUUAUUUGAAUUUGAAUUAUUUUAUUUGAAUUUUGAAAUAAGAUUCCCAUCCCCCUUUUUAAUCUUUCUACUCCCAGAAGCAGCUAGGAUAGUGGUUUUUAGUCCAAACCUAUGUAAGUUAAUGAGUUAACAUAACAACAAAAAACUCAUAAUUUUUCUAAUUGGGCAAUUAAAAACUUUACCAAAACUUGGAAAUAAUGGGGAAGAGCAUGACCUUUCAAUGUCAAACUGAGACAUCGGUUAACAAGUCCACCCAGGGGCCAGUUAAUUCUCCAGUUGUGUUUGGCUUUGCUCUUCACUAUUGAUUAGAUUCCAGCCACAGUGAAGUUCUGUGGUCACUUGCACAUUUUAUUCAGCCUGUUCAGAGAAAAAGAUAAUCGCAGCGUUUAUGAUUUUAUUGCAAUAUAGGAAGAUAACCAAUUUUGCAUCUAACCAAAUAAUCAUUUUGCAUCUAACCAAACUUUCUUUCUAAAUACCUGUAAAUCCACAGAUCCUCAAAAUGCUUUUGGAACCAGCUUCAUCAUCUUACAGUUUUCCCCAUUAAUAAGUGAAUAGAUCUCUGCUGCCUGCCUAUGUUUGUAUGAGAGUUGUAUUUUAACUUUUUAA
rnacentral:lncRNA from 10 species